rnacentral:rRNA from 1 species
AACGAACGCUGGCGGCAGGCCUAACACAUGCAAGUCGAACGAUAAGCCACCUUCGGGUGGUGGACAGUGGCAGACGGGUGAGUAACGCGUGGGAACGUGCCUUUCGGUUCGGGAUAACCCAGGGAAACUUGGGCUAAUACCGGAUACGCCCUUCGGGGGAAAGCUUCAUUGCCGAAAGAUCGGCCCGCGUCGGAUUAGCUAGUUGGUGGGGUAAUGGCCUACCAAGGCGACGAUCCGUCGCCGGUCUGAGAGGAUGACCAGCCACACUGGGACUGAGACACGGCCCAGACUCCUACGGGAGGCAGCAGUGGGGAAUAUUGGACAAUGGGCGAAAGCCUGAUCCAGCCAUGCCGCGUGGGUGAAGAAGGCCUUAGGGUUGUAAACCCCUUUCAGCGGGGACGAUAAUGACGGUACCCGCAGAAGAAGUCCCGGCUAACUCCGUGCCAGCCGCCGCCGUAA